GUGAAAUAGCUUUAGGGCUAGCCUCGAUCGCUUACCGACGGUGGUAGAGCACUGGAUCCGUGCGGGGGCCUCACCGCCUACCAACCGAAACCAAACUCCGAAUGCCGUCGGUCCCGAGAUCGGGAGUCAGAACAUGUGGGCUAAGCCGUGUGUUCGAGAGGGAAACAGCCCAGACCGCCUGCUAAGGUCCCCAAAUCAACGCUGAGUGGCAAAGGAUGUGCGUUUGCCUAGACAACCAGGAUGUUGGCUUAGAAGCAGCCAUGCAUUUAAAGAGUGCGUAACAGCUCACUGGUCAAGUGGACAUGCGCCGACAAUACACGGGGCUAAGCGUUGUACCGAAGCAGCGGACUGUUUUAUCAGUGGUAGGGGAGCUUUCCAUGCCGGGGCGAAGCCGACGGGCGACCGUCGGUGGACUGCAUGGAAGUGAGAAUGCUGGCAUGAGUAACGAGAGAGGGGCGAGAAACCCCUCCGCCGUAAGCCUAAGGGUUCCUGGGCAAGGCUAAUCCCCCCAGGGUCAGUCGGGAGCUAAGGCGAGGCCGACAGGCGUAGCCGAUGCACAACAGGCGGACAUUCCUGUACCACCGCGGAGCGUUACUACGACGGGGUGACGGAGAAGGGUAGCCGGGCGGGGUUCUGGACGUCCCCGUGAAAGCGCGUAGGCCGCAGGGCAGGCAAACCCGCCCUGCAGCAGGCCGAGACGUUAGACGAAGCUUCAUGUGAAGCCGGCGAGCCCAUGCUUCCGAGAAAAACCUCUAAGGAGCGAGGCGGUGCCCGUACCAAAACCGACACAGGUAGGCGGGUAGAGCAUACCAAGGCGAUCGGGAGAACCAUGGUUAAGGAACUCGGCAUACUGACUCCGUAACUUCGGGAGAAGGAGUGCCCCCGCCUGUGAGGUCCCACGCGGACGGAGCGGGAGGGGGUCGCAGCGAAACGGCCCAAGCGACUGUUUACCAAAAACACAGGACUCUGCAAAGCCGCAAGGCGACGUAUAGGGUCUGACGCCUGCCCGGUGCUGGAAGGUUACGCGGAUGAGUUAGCGCAAGCGAAGCCCUGAAGCCAAGCCCCAGUAAACGGCGGCCGUAACUAUAACGGUCCUAAGGUAGCGAAAUUCCUUGUCGGGUAAGUUCCGACCUGCACGAAUGGCGUAACGACUUGGGCGCUGUCUCAACCAUGGACCCGGUGAAAUUGUAUUAUUCGUGAAGAUGCGAAUUACCUGCGGAAGGACGGAAAGACCCCGUGAACCUUUACUGCAGCUUGGCAUUGGCUGUUGGUGCGGUGCGUAGAGGAUAGGCAGGAGCCUGCGAACCGGGAACGCCAGUUCCCGGGGAGGCGCCCUUGGAAUACUGCCCUCACCGCAUCGGCAGCCUAACGCGCCGCCCUCAUCGGGGGCGCGGACCGUGCCAGGUGGGUAGUUUGACUGGGGCGGUCGCCUCCUAAACUGUAACGGAGGCGUGCGAAGGUUCGCUCAGGGCGGUUGGCAAUCGCCCGCAGAGCACAAGAGUACAAGCGAGCCUGACUGCGAGACCAACAAGUCGAGCAGAGACGAAAGUCGGUUCUAGUGAUCCGGCGGCCCAGCGUGGAAUGGCCGUCGCUCAACGGAUAAAAGGUACUCCGGGGAUAACAGGCUGAUCUUGCCCAAGAGUCCACAUCGACGGCAAGGUUUGGCACCUCGAUGUCGGCUCAUCGCAUC
rnacentral:rRNA from 1 species